CUUUAUAAUUACCAUUGAAUAAAUGUAUGUCUUAUACAGGGUCAAGAAUCAGACCUGUGUAGACCAGGCACCUCCUCUGGGACCUGUGAUUUCAGCCCCACUACCACCCCCUUUCCCUCCUCCUCCUCUACCCAUUACCCCCUUCCACUCUCCAUCCCCCCACCCCUCUCCAAACCCAAGAGACCAACAUGGUGCCACCAGAACCGUACAGCUUGUCAGCCAACAGUAUGUCUUAUACACAGACACAGAGUUGGAGCAAUCAAGAAGCACCUUUUUUGAAUAACAGCGUGCUGGACAAGAAGGAGACUAUAUCCUUUCCAAAGAUCUUCGCUGUUGAUUAAUCAGGAAUACAGUAACAAGCAUGAUUUCCAUUAAGAGAGCGGCAGGGAUGACUUCCGGUAUCCAUGCAGCCGUGAACUCACUGUAAUGGCGAAGCAUCUCAUAGACUACUACCCAAUGGUGCGGGACAGAUCUGCAACCAGUGGAGCUGAGUGGGAAUCUGUGAAGAAGCAGCUUUUGAAAAGGAUUCAGAGUGUGACAACCCUCAAAAAGAAGCAGGGAGCGACCCCUUCAAGAAAGAGGCCACGAAGCCUUAGCUUUCAGAGCAGCCAGAUCUGAGAUGUCCACUGAUGAGACUGACGAGUCCACCUCCUCAACUUUGAUCUUGGAGAGAUCCCCACAAUCUAGAUGCAGCACCCCAGAGGUUGAACAGUUGGGUGAAACUACUGAGAGCCUACAGAACCAGGCGAGACAUUAUAAAAUUCUAUAGGAGAUGUACAAAACACAGGCCAGACCCAACCAGAAGGAUGUUUCCCAGCUCCUGGACCUCAAGCAACACGGGCCUUUAUCGACUCUGAUGCUACUAAGGAGCAGGACGAGCCUACCAACAUACUUCAAGCGUAUCCCUGCUUCAGAG